CCACAAAAGACAGACAUUUCCUAACCCUCCCUACCUCUGAUGGCCUGAUCUGCCUAAUUUAGUCUGUAUUUUAAAGGCAGAUGCCCAGCUGUGUCCUUCCUCUUUGCUCUACUUCCCUCAGUCCAAAUAGCCUCCUUCUCCUCCCCAAAUGACCUCUAUUUUGCCUAAUGUCUCAGCCUACCGAGGCAUAUGACCGGGCUUCAGCUUCCCUUUUCCUCAAGGCACAGCAGGAAUGGGAGAAGGAGGUGAAUUCCAGAAAGACUUCGCGGAAGAAUUUGUGUAAUUUUACAUGGAGACUCAACAGGACUUGGGGCCUGUCUGGAUGUGGAGGUUGAAGGAGGAGACAACUGUGAAGGUUUCCACCCUGUCAAUCUUGUUGGCAACUCAAAUUACAGCUGGAAGACUUAAGCAGCCUCCAGUGAGAACUGACAGACUGAGGCUGGAGAACCCUUUCUUUGCUAAAUCUGAGAGACAGCGACUAGUCGGUGAGGGGAGGAUGGCCCUCAUAUUAAAACCACUUGUAAUGACAGUUCUAAGAUACUGUACCUGGAACUUCAGAUGACCUCUAUGCAAUACUUUGCAACUUUAAUUGAUUGCCAUUCUUCUUGAGGAAGAAUGGAAGGAUUGGAUCCCUUCGAACCAUCCUUUGGAAUGAAGAGGAGCCUCUCAAUCAAGGGGACAGCAACCUGGCUUCCAGAACAGAUCACUGGCUUCUGGGCCUCAAAUGGAGAAGAGAGAGAACCACAAAACCUAGGACAUGUCUGGAGAGAACCAUGGUUAUUAUAUUUUAGAGAAAGGAACCACACCAACCCUAGGCUAGGACAAGACAUGAAGUUCAUGCCAAAAAUACCUGGGUGGAUGGAGGACGUGAUCUCGAAUCGGAAUUGCAGCUGUCCACUCACAUGAUCUGUUGGAAGCCUGCGGCCAAGUGUAUAGCUGACCACCCUAUCCCUAGAAGGAAAUAAGCACCAUUUACAGAUCUGGUCAGUACCUCUCCUUGAAGAUUACACAGCAUGCUUUCUAUGCCAGGAGGUGAGAUAGGCAAGUCCGGGGAGGCCCUGCUAAUAGGAGGUGAUGAUCCGCUCAGGUGCAUAGAAGAUGGACAUAAGGUAAAGGUGGGAAAGUACAUCUGCUCAACAGCAAUGAAAAACGUCAAGAAAAUCCUUAUUGAAUAUUCUAAAGCAGGAGUGAGCAAACUGUGGCCCAGGGCUCAAAUCUGGCCCACCACCUAUUUUUGUACAGCUAUGAGCGUUUUACAUUUUAAAACGGUUAGAAAAAAAAAAUAACAAAAGAAGAAUAAUAUUUUGUGACACAGGAAAAUUGUCUGAAAAUCAAAUUUCAGUUCCCAAAAUAAAAGUUUUAUUAGAAUGCAGCCAUGCUUAUUAGUUUAUUGUCUGGGGCUGCUUUCAUGCUACAACGGCAGAGUUGAAUAGUUGAAACGGAGACUGCAUGGUCCACAAAGCCUGAAAUAUUUACUACUUGGCCCCUUACAGAAGGUUUUCUGCCAGCCUGUGUUAUAAGCCAAGAAAACCCCAAAAAGACAACAAUAACAACAAAAAAGACAUGGAUAUCUUUGCUUGCUUUUCUUGUGCAGGCUGACAUUUUCCAAUGCCCUUAAUGGACAUUGCCAGCAACAGACGCAUGUCUUGCAGUAUAUAUGCAUAGUGUCUAAGAAAGGAUGCUGUCAUGGUUACUGGAGUGGUGUGGAGAGCUGUGGAGUGCUUCAGAAAGGGACCUGCUGCAGGAUGGACUGAAGCAAGACUUGUAGGUUGGUUUCCAGUUACACCAACUCCACAGUCCUACAUACAGAUUCUGAAACUCCAUCCUGGCAUCUGGCAUCAUCCCCUCUGCCCACUCAGGGCAAUUUCUUGAUUAUAAAGAAGAGAAUUAUCCAGGGGGAAUCAACUUGAAAGUUUGCUUUUACAGUUUCAUCAACAAUGUAAGCUUUAGCAGAGUACAUUACCCGCCCCCCCACCCCCACCUUGGUUUAAAUAGGAAAGGUAACUACCUUGGCUAUUCAAGAAUUAACAAAUCCAGUUUAUCUAAUACUAACAAGACAUAUUCCAAAACCGUUUGUUACUCAGAUGAUUCUGUAUUCAUUCCAUUUAUUCAUUGGUCAUACUAAAAUAAAAAGGUAAGUUGCUGGCUGGUAGUGUUUUAAUGUUUCUAGAAAAUACCAGCAUUAUGAAACAACAUAUAUCCCAAUGAUACUCUAAGUUAAUAUAUUUCUUUGGUAAACCGUAGUUUAGUGUUUGAAGUUCCUAGGAGGUCCAUUAAAUAAAGCAUUAUAUGUAGGAAAACAGAAUGAACCACAAUAUUUUGUUUAUUUAGAAAGGACCUUGGUCAAUAUUAUGAAGCAAAUCUACUUAUGACCAUAGGAAAGAGAUCUUGAACCCAAAACCUAGUUGAAAUCAGGAGAUGCCUAAAGAUAACCAGGCAGUGAGACAAAAACUAAAUUUGCUAUGCCUUGCAUUUGUUCCAGGCUUUUCUGCCAAUUCUCCUCAUUCCUUCGAUAUCAUUCUAAGGGUUACAAUUGUAUAGCAUGGCAUAGCGUAGAUUUAUGGCCAGAGAGCUAUACUUAGCAUUUACAAAUAUAGUUGCUGCUAACUAAGGAAGUAUAUACUAUAUAGAAAUAUUUCAUCUGGUAAGAGUCCAUUUUAAUGAGAAUCAUGAGAGGACAUGAAAAUAAAAGAUACUAACAGAAACAUUCUUAUAUACAACUGAAUUCUGCAAGUAACUUAAUUGCUGUCAUCCAUGAGAAUUCAUGCUUUUAAAAUUUCAUACAUAGUAUCUAGCAUUUUCUACAAAUACUAGCAUUUUCUAAGUCUCUCUACUCUAGUAACCCAGGAUUUCAUCUUGUUAGAGGAGCGUCCCAAAUGAUUAAAUCCUACACACAAGCAGAAAUAAUAUUCUUGAUAGUAAAGCAAAUUUUAAUUUCUACCUGUAUAGAAAAAUGCCCCAUUUUUUAGUUUACUUAUUGUCUGGGGCUGCUUUCAUGCUGUAACAGCAGAGUUGAAUAGUUGAAACAGGGCUUCUUUCAAUAUUGUCUUGGGAUUUUCUACUCUCUUGCAUAAGUAACCAGCGGUACACAAACAAGAGGAAAGGGAAGGGUUCAUUUAAUUGAAUGUUGUGGCUGGAGCAACAUAAUUAAUGGGAGAAGCCAAGGAAAUUCAAUACCACCAUUUUAGUUUGAGUCUCCGCGAGACUAUAUUGUUGCAGCUUGUAGGCCUCCCUUUGCCUGCUCGCUGAAGACUUAGUGAUAUUGAGGUCUCAGUCACAGGUUUACCCUAUGGCGUGUCUUUCCAGGAGUCUUUGAACGGGCAUCGACAGCUUUCCCAAGAAGCGCUUGAUGAUGGGGCGGCUCUUAGCAAACUUGUCCUUCACCUCAAUUUCCAGUACAUCAGUGGGCAAGGACACAAAGCUGAAUUGCUGCAAUGAAAUAAUAUGUCACAUCAAUUAACUGAGAGGUGAAAGGGCUGGCCAAUUCCCAGCCCGUCUGCCUUGGAUGAAGUCAUUAUAAAACAUCCCAGUGGCAAUAUAUAUAUCAAGGUCUUAGAAAUGCUGUGAGCUCUGUUUAUUCAGUAAAUGAAUAAUAACAACAUUGAGGUACUUUUUUGAUGCUUAAAAAUAAGGCUAUUCUCCAAGAUUCAAAUAAUAAAAACAACUCACCUUAAAGACAAAGAACCCACUUAGGCCUCACUAUACUAAAAGUAUUAACAUAUUUAAAGAAAGAACAAGCACACACUCACCUAUAAUUAAGGAAAUACACUUUAAACCAUAACAAAACACCUCUUUUCCUUGAUUAUAAGGGCAGAGAUUUAAAAAUGUUUCAUAGUAUCCUGUGUUCUUGACAGUGGAAAAAGAAUUCUCACACUGUAUUGAUAUACAAUCCCAUUCAAUUGAUUCAACCUUUGGGAAAGGAAUUGGCAAUAUUUAUUGGCAUUUAAGCUGCAAAUUCCCUGCAACUCAGAAUUCCAAUUUUAGGAAUUUUCCCUCUGGAUUAAUUUGCACACUUGUGCAAGUUAACAAUAGCAAAAGACUGGAAAGACCAAAAAUGUCUAUCAACAGCAACCAGUUAAAUUAAGGAUAGUAAAUCUUUGAAAUAGAAAACUCUGUUGUAAUUAAAAAGAAAAAGAAACCGGUAAAUAUGCACCAACAUGAAUAGAUACUUGAAAAACAAAGUAAAAAAACAAGAUGUAGAACAAUAUGAAGAGUGGGAUUCAUUUGUGUUUGGAACUGCAAAGAAAAUGCCUGGAGGGGUGGACUCCAAACUCAACCUUAGGAAGUAGGUUAGUAGGGAGGAGAGAAAGCAGAUCUUUUUCAUUUGAUUCUAAACUAUUCAUUUUUUAAAUAGCUGUAUGACCAGUUAAAUUAAGGAUAGUAAAUCUUUGAAAUAGAAAACUCUGUUGUCAUUAAAAAGAAACAGGUAAAUAAGUUAAAUUAAGUUAAAUUAAGUAGGCUAGUAGGGAGGAGAGAAAGCAGAUCUUUUUCAUUUGAUUCUAAACUGUUCAUUUUUUAAAUAACCGUAUGACUUUUAAAAUAAAGGCAGCAACAAUUAAAGAAAGACUGUAACCAUCAGAAGGUGGCAUAGUAAACAAUGAAAAGUGUAGAAAAGGAAUAAACAACCUAAACUUACACCUAAAGGAGCUAGAAAAAGAAGAGCAAACAAAACUAAAAGCCAGCCGAAGGAAGGAAAUAAAGAUUAGAGCAGAAAGAAAUGGUAUAGAAACUAAAAAACAAAAACAAAAACAAAAAACCAAUAGAACAGAUCAAUGAAACCAGGAGCUGGUUCUUUGGAAAAAAAGAAUACAAUUGAUAAACCUCUAGCCAAACUCAUCAAAGAGAGAGAGAGAAAGAGGACUCAAAUAAACAAAAUCACAAAUGAGAGAAGAGAAAUAAUAACCAACGCCACAGAAAUAUAAACAAUUGUAAGAGAAUAUUAUGAAAAAAUUUAUGCCAACAAAUUGGGCAACCUGGGAGAAAUUGAUAAAUUCCCAGAAACAUAUAACCUACCAAAACUGAAGCAGGAAGAAAUAGAAAAUUUGAACAGACCAAUUACUAGCAAGGCAACUGAAUCAGUAAUCAAAAAACUCCCAACAAACAAAAGUCCACGACCAGAUGGCUUUAUAGGGGAAUUCUACCAAACUCUUAAAGAAGAGUUGAUACUUAUUCUUUUCAAACUAUUCCAAAAAAAUAUAAGAGGAAGGAAAACUUCCAAAUUCAUUCUAUGAGGCCAGCAUUACCCUGAUACCAAAACCAGAUAAAGACACCACAAAAAAGGAGAACUAUAGGCCAAUAUCUCUGAUGAAUACAGAUGCCAAUAUCCUCAACAAAAUACUAGCAAACUGAAUCCAACAAUACAUUAAAAAAAGUCAUUCAGCACAAUAAGGUGGGAUUUAUUCCCAGGAUGCAAAGGUGAUUCAAUAUUAACAAAUCAGUCAGCAUGGUAUUUCAUAUCAAUAAGAGAAAGGAUAAAAACCAUAUGAUCAUUUCAAUAGAUACAGAAAAAGCAUUUGACAAAGAACAAUAUCAAUUCAUGAUAAAAUCCCUCAACAAAGUAGCAUUAGAGGGAAUAUACCUCAACAUAAUAAAAGCCACAUAUGAAAAACUCUCAGUGAACAUCAUACUCAGUGGAGAAAAUGGACAGCUUUUCCCCAAAGGUCAGGAACAAGACAAGAAGGUCCACUCUCACCACUUUUAUUCAACAUAGUACUGCAGUCCUAGCCACAGCCAUCAGACAAGAAAAAGGAAUAAAAGGCAUCCAAGGUGGCAGGGAAGAAGUCAAACUUUCAUUAUUUGCAGAAGACAUGAUGCUCUAUAUAGAAAUCCAAAAGACCACCAAAAUACUGCCAGAACUGAUAAAUGAAUUCAGUAAAGUCACAGGAUACAAAACCAAUGUACAGAAAUCUGUUACACUUCUAUAUACUAAUAAUGAAGCAGCAGAAAAAGAAAUUAAUAAAAUAACCCAUUUACAAUUGCACCAAAAAAUAAUGAAGUACCUAGAAAUAAGACUUAACCAUAGAGGUAAAAGAUCUGUAGUCUAAAAAGUAUAAAACAUAUUGAUGCAAGAAAUUGAAGAAGGCACAAAGAAAUGGAAAGACAUUCCAUGCUUAUGGAUUGGAAGAACAAAUAUUGUUAAACUGUCUAUAUUACCCAAAGCAAGUUACAGAUUCAAUACAAUCCCUAUCAAAAUACCAACAGCAUUUUUCACAGAACUAGAACACACAAUCCUAAAAUUUGUAUGGAACCACAAAAGACCCUGAAUAGCCACAGCAAUCUUAGAAAAACAAAACUGGAGAAAAACUACCUCCAGACUAGACAUCAUACUACAAAGCUGUAGUGAUCAAGACAGAAUGGUACUGGCACAAAAAUAGACACAUAGAUCAAUGGAACAGAAUAGAAAACCCAGAAAUAAACCCACAAUUACAUGGUCAAUUAAUCUUUGACAAAGGAGGAAAGAAUAUGCAAUGGGAAAAAGACAGUCUCUUCAACAAA